rnacentral:rRNA from 1 species
UGGCGGAGGCCUAACACAUGCAAGUCGAGCGCGCCUUCGGGUGAGCGGCGGACGGGUUAGUAACGCGUGGGAACGUGCCCUUCUCUACGGAAUAGCCUCUGGAAACGGAGAGUAAUACCGUAUACGCCCUUUGGGGGAAAGAUUUAUCGGAGAAGGAUCGGCCCGCGUUAGAUUAGGUAGUUGGUGGGGUAACGGCCUACCAAGCCUACGAUCUAUAGCUGGUUUUAGAGGAUGAUCAGCAACACUGGGACUGAGACACGGCCCAGACUCCUACGGGAGGCAGCAGUGGGGAAUCUUAGACAAUGGGGGCAACCCUGAUCUAGCCAUGCCGUGUGAGUGAUGAACGCCUUAGGGUCGUAAAGCUCUUUCGCCUGUGAUGAUAAUGACA